GCGGAUUUGGCGGAGUGGUUAACGCGUGACGUUCAGGUCGUCAUCACGAGAGUGGCGCGAGUUCGAAUCUCGCAGUCCGCA
rfam:Rhizopus oryzae RA 99-880 supercont3.23 genomic scaffold, whole genome shotgun sequence.